rnacentral:rRNA from 1 species
GAUGAACGCUGGCGGCGUGCCUAAUACAUGCAAGUCGAGCGAACAGACGAGGAGCUUGCUCCUCUGACGUUAGCGGCGGACGGGUGAGUAACACGUGGAUAACCUACCUAUAAGACUGGGAUAACUUCGGGAAACCGGAGCUAAUACCGGAUAAUAUAUUGAACCGCAUGGUUCAAUAGUGAAAGACGGUUUUGCUGUCACUUAUAGAUGGAUCCGCGCCGCAUUAGCUAGUUGGUAAGGUAACGGCUUACCAAGGCAACGAUGCGUAGCCGACCUGAGAGGGGGAUCGGCCACACGGGAACUGAGACACGGCCCAGACUCCUAGGGGAGGCAGCAGUAGGGAAUCUUCCGCAAGGGGCGAAAGCCUGACGGAGCAACGCGGCGUGAGUGAUGAAGGUCUUCGGAUCGUAAACCCCUGUUAUUAGGAAAGAACAAAUGUGUAAGUAACUAUGCACGUCUGGAGGGUACCUAAUCAGAAAGCCACGCCUAAUUACGU